rnacentral:piRNA from 2 species
UAGUUUCAGAAGGAAUGGUACCAGCUCC